rnacentral:rRNA from 1 species
GACGAACGCUGGCGGCGUGCCUAAUACAUGCGAGUCGAACGAACCGCGACUAGGUGCUUGCACUUGGUCAAGGUGAGUGGCGAACGGGUGAGUAACACGUGGGUAACCUACCUCAUAGUGGGGGAUAACAGUCGGAAACGACUGCUAAUACCGCAUAGGACAUAGGAUCACAUGAUCCAGUGAGGAAAGGUGGCGCAAGCUAUCGCUAAGAGAUGGACCCGCGGUGCAUUAGCUAGUUGGUAGGGUAAAGGCCUACCAAGGCGAUGAUGCAUAGCCGACCUGAGAGGGUGAUCGGCCACAUUGGGACUGAGACACGGCCCAAACUCCUACGGGAGGCAGCAGUAGGGAAUCUUCCGCAAUGGACGCAAGUCUGACGGAGCAACGCCGCGUGAGUGAAGAAGGUCUUCGGAUCGUAAAGCUCUGUUGUUAGAGAAGAACAGCGAAUAGAGUAACUGUUAUGCGUGUGACGGUAUCUAACCAGAAAGCCACGGCUAACUACGUG